rnacentral:rRNA from 1 species
CCUCCCUCUUUCUUCGUGCUUAACACAUGCAAGUCGAACGGAAAGGCCCUGCUUUUGUGGGGUGCUCGAGUGGCGAACGGGUGAGUAACACGUGAGUAACCUGCCCUUGACUUUGGGAUAACUUCAGGAAACUGGGGCUAAUACCGGAUAGGAGCUCCUGCUGCAUGGUGGGGGUUGGAAAGUUUCGGCGGUUGGGGAUGGACUCGCGGCUUAUCAGCUUGUUGGUGGGGUAGUGGCUUACCAAGGCUUUGACGGGUAGCCGGCCUGAGAGGGUGACCGGCCACAUUGGGACUGAGAUACGGCCCAGACUCCUACGGGAGGCAGCAGUGGGGAAUAUUGCACAAUGGGCGGAAGCCUGAUGCAGCAACGCCGCGUGCGGGAUGACGGCCUUCGGGUUGUAAACCGCUUUCGCCUGUGACGAGGCGUGAGUGACGGUAAUGGGUAAAGAAGCACCGGCUAACUACGUG